rnacentral:rRNA from 1 species
GACCUCAAAUCAGGUAAGACUACCCGCUGAACUUAAGCAUAUCAAUAAGCGGAGGAAAAGAAACCAACAGGGAUUGCCUUAGUAACGGCGAGUGAAGCGGCAAAAGCUCAAAUUUGAAAUCUGGCAGUAAUGUCCGAGUUGUAAUUUGAAGAAGGUAACUUUGGUGAUAGCUCUUGCAUAUGUUCCUUGGAACAGGACGUCAUAGAGGGUGAGAAUCCCGUAUAUGGUGAGAUGACAUAUUGCUAUGUAAAGUGCCUUCGAAGAGUCGAGUUGUUUGGGAAUGCAGCUCUAAGUGGGUGGUAAAUUCCAUCUAAAGCUAAAUAUUGGCGAGAGACCGAUAGCGAACAAGUACAGUGAUGGAAAGAUGAAAAGAACUUUGAAAAGAGAGUGAAAAAGUACGUGAAAUUGUUGAAAGGGAAGGGC